rnacentral:rRNA from 1 species
AUUGAACGCUGGCGGCAUGCUUUACACAUGCAAGUCGAACGGCAGCGCGGGCUUCGUCCUGGCGGCGAGUGGCGAACGGGUGAGUAAUACAUCGGAACGUGCCCAGUAGUGGGGGAUAGCUCGGCUAAAGCCGGAUUAAUACCGCAUACGACCUGAGUGUGAAAGCGGGGGAUCUUCGGACCUCGCGCUAUUGGAGCUGCCGAUGGCAGAUUAGCUAGUUGGUGGGGUAAAGGCCUACCAAGGCGACGAUCUGUAGCUGGUCUGAGAGGACGACCAGCCACACUGGGACUGAGACACGGCCCAGACUCCUACGGGAGGCAGCAGUGGGGAAUUUUGGACAAUGGGCGAAAGCCUGAUCCAGCAAUGCCGCGUGUGUGAUGAAGGCCUUCGGGUUGUAAAGCACUUUUGGCGGGAACGAAAAGGACUGUGCCAAUACCACGGUUCGAUGACGGUACCCGCAGAAUAAGCACCGGCUAACUACGUG